rnacentral:lncRNA from 1 species
AACCAAACAGGACACUGUAGGUCUCAGUAUGACAGAAAGCUUUUGUUGAAGUGGGAGGCUGACAGGGUUUUUUGUUUAUUUGUUUGUUAUUCAAAUAACUUUCCCCCUGAGGAAAGUCAAAGGGAAAUGUCAGAAGCAUGUGAUUAAUGAUUUUUAAAAUAGAUGGAUCCUCCCUGUUGAAUUGAAAAGUAUGUAUUGAAAAGGAACCCACCCUACUAAAUAUUAGAUUUUCAUAUGUAGGUUUGAUAUUAAUUCUUUCAAGGGAGUUGUGCUUUUGAGUCAGAUAAAUGACAGAAGGGUCUAAGUAUCAACAUCCUCUUGAGAGGCAGCUGUUCAGUAACAUUCUUAAAUCAUAAUGAUGAAUAGAAUUGCAACAUUGAUGAUGUGACCAACUGGUGAUGGGGAGUCAUCCCCAAGCUGUGUGCAGUGUUAAUGUGCUUCCUAAAAUAGUGUUAAAAUUAAAAAAAAAAGUACAUGCUGUUGGGGAUAAGGGUAAGGUGGUGAUGAUGGCGGGGGGCGGGGGGUGGGGUGUAAGGGAAGAUUCCAGAAAGAAAAACCUACACCAAAAUAUACAUUCUUUUUCUUUCUUUCUUUUUUUUUUUUUUAAGAUUCCUUUUAAUAGGCUCUUAAAGCAAAGACAGAAGCUGAAAACAUUCCAUGUAAAUAAACAGCAAAGAACUCCAAAUGCUUAGCAGACCAGAACACCGGAAAGAGCUUGCUUGGUACUGCCAGGCAUGACCGGCUUUAGUGGAUUUAACAAUAAAAAAGAAGAUGGCGCCAAAUGACCAAACUACAUGAGACUUUCCCUUCCAGCAAGAAAAGUGGAUAAAACUUUGCACUGGGUGUAGGGGGAGGGUCUAGAGAGAUAAAAU